GAUGAACGCUGGCGGCGUGCUUAACACAUGCAAGUCGAGCGAACAGACGAGGAGGUUGCUCUUCUGACGUUAGCGGCGGUUGGAGGAGCAACACGUGGAGAACCUACUUAUUAGACUGGGACAACCUCGGGAAUCCGGAGCGAAUACCGGAUAAUAUACUGCAUCGCAUGGUUCAAUAGCGUAAGACGGUGGUGCUAUCUCUUAUAGAUGGAUCCGCGCCGCCUUAGCUAGUUGGGAAGGGAACGGUUUACCAAGGCAACGACGCGUAGCCGACCUGAGAGGGUGAUCGGCCACACUGGAACUGAGACACGGUCCAGACUCCUACGGGAGGCAGCAGUAGGAAAUCUUCCGCAAUGGGGGAAAGCCGGACGGAGCAACGCCGCGUGAAUGAUGAAGGUCUUCGGACCGUAAAACUCUGUUAUUAGGGAGGAACAAAUGUGUAAGUAGCUGUGCACGUCUUGACGGUACCUAAGCAGAAAGCCACGGCUAACUACGUG
rnacentral:rRNA from 1 species